ACCACCGAAAGAACGAUUUUCGGAAAUUUUCCCACAAAAAAGAACGUAGUACCAGUAAUGCUUCAUAGAAUUGAGUAAAAAACAAAUUCCAAUUAAUUGUUAAAUAGAUUUAACACAUCUUUAGUUAGUUGCAAAUACUUCAUAAACUUGAAUGUGUUCCACGAUCCGUAAAAACAAUUGUACAAGUCCAGCAGGCCCUUCUGUAAGAAAGUGGACUGUAGAUGUAGAAUGAAUCUCCCAGACAAGUAGCAGCAGAGGAAAAGACCAAGUUUUUAUGUGUCACAGUGUAUUUGGGUGUAUGAGCUCUUACCGCCUUGGAUGGUUUAGCACAAGUGUCUAAGGCAGUGAAUAUAAAACAACAUGAACAUAAUUUAUGCCUAAACAAAAAACUCUAUUUCAGCAAAUGCAAUUGAUGUGGAUGUGAGAUAGAUAGGGGUGCAACUUAAAGCGAUUAGGGUUGCCGGGUGUCAGAUAUACAAUCUGUUUUACUAAUAAUUCAUUUUAUAUAACAAUUCAAGAAAUUCAUUUACCUAAAACUAAAGUGGAAAGUGCGUAGUGCGCAGGUGUAGUGAUGGAACAUAGUUGUUGUUGAACCGGCUUGAACUAGGUUCAACAUGCCACCCGCCUGGUCCUUCGAAACGGAUAUGUUGGCAAUAGCUGUCAAAGUGAGAAUGUAUGUCAGAAGUGCAAACAGAAACAUCACACAGUGCUGCAUCCUGACUCUGGUAAUACAUCAGGCCAUGAGCGAAAUCCUGGACCAAUAAAGGCAGGAACCGGAACUACUCUAUAUCGUACGGAGACUUUUCAUACAGAUACAGAAUACGAUGACCAGCCUUCAACAUCUGACGCCGCUUAUGAUGGAAUGUCUAAUCACAUUUCACAGAAUCGGGGGAGGAAACUGUGCUGCCCACUUUCUUGGUCGACAUAGAACAUUUGGGUACUCUGUUUAACAGAUUGUCUAUUCCAAUCAAGAAAUCAUUUACGAGGAUUUCAGGACUGGGAGUUACUGCACUCGAAUACUGCUCCAAGUUAUGCUGCCUCACGUUAUAGGCUCGCAAUUCUCAUUUUAUAAUAGGCACAUCAGUUAUUGUUGUUUCGAGUUUGAAGCAUUUAAUGCCAGGUCUUCCUACACCAAUUUCGGACUGGUCUGGUUUGAACCAUCUGGAUCUAGCGGAUCCUAAAUUUUUUAAACCAGGUCCAAUAGAUAUGCUUCUGGGAAGUGGCGUAUUACCGUCAACUAUAAGACAUGGGAUUAAACCCAACAUUUCAGGGGAUCUUUUGGCGCAAGAGACAGCAUUUGGGUGGCUAGUUAGCGAUCCUCUUAGAAAGCGCACGAUAACAGCGUCUGCCACCUGGGUGACUUCCCCUGACACACUGAACGAAGAGCUACGAAGAUUCUGGGAAAUCGAGGCAGUUCCUGCCCCAAUUCCUAUUACAGAAGAUGAUGCUUUCUGUGAACAAUUUUUCCAAAAGACAACGAAAUGGCUACCAGACGGGACGUAUUAAGUCAGAUUGCCUUUCCGAUAAAACCUUUCACCUAAGAUGAUACUGGGAUCUUCACGCCGUGCAGCCUUAGGACAAUAUCUUCGUGGGGAGAAGACUGUGAGGAAGUUUCCAGAUUUAGAAGCAGAGUAUACAAAAGUGUUAGCUGAAUAUAUACGAUUAGAUCAUAUGGAACCUACGCAACCAACUGAAAUCUGCGAGAAAUCUCACUUUUGUUCUUUCUAUUUGCAACCCAUGCUGUGGUUAGGCCUGAAAGUGUGUCCACUAAGGUUAAAGUGGUAUUCAACGCUUCAUAGAAAACUUCCACCGGCAUUUCCUCAAGCGACAUUUUAUAUACUGGUCUAACCCUACAGGUCCAACGCUAGAGAAAAAAUCUUUUUUUU
rnacentral:sRNA from 1 species